CUCUGCAGGUGUGCAGGGACGGCGAACGGCUCAUUAUCACGUGGUCAACCUACCCUAUGGAUGGGGAUAACCUUGGGAAACUGAGGCUAACACCCAAUAGAUCUAAGAGAUGCUGGAAUGCGCUCAGAUCCAAAAAGCGUUGAGCUUUCCCUCAGUUGCUGCCAUAGGUAUGGGACCGCGCCCGAUCAGGUAGUUGGUGGUGUAAAGGACCACCAAGCCGAUAACCGGUGGGGGCUAUGGAAGUASGAGCCCCGAGAAGGGCACUGGGACAAGGGCCCUAGCCCUACKGGGUGCAGCAGGCGCSAAAUUUSUGCAAUGCGCGAAAGCGUGACAGGGGAACUCUGAGUGCUGUUCACGCCAACAGCUUUUCUCAGGUGUAAAUUACUUGAGGAAUAASGAGAGGAUAAGGCUAGUGUCAGCCGCCGCGGUAAAACUAUKCUCUUCCAGUGGUAUCCAUUAUUAUUGGGCUUAAAG
rnacentral:rRNA from 1 species